UACAGAGGGUGCGAGCGUUAAUCGGAAUUACUGGGCGUAAAGCGCGCGUAGGCGGCUUUGCAAGUCGGGUGUGAAAUCCCCAGGCUUAACCUGGGAACUGCAUUCGAGACUGCAUGGCUAGAGUAUGGGAGAGGGAAGUGGAAUUUCCGGUGUAGCGGUGAAAUGCGUAGAUAUCAGGAGGAACACCUGCGGUGUAGACGGCUUACUGGACCAUCACUGACGCUGAGGCACGAAAGCGUGGGUAGCAAACAGG
rnacentral:rRNA from 1 species